rnacentral:rRNA from 1 species
AUUGAACGCUGGCGGCAGGCCUAACACAUGCAAGUCGAGCGGAUGAGAGGAGCUUGCUUCUCGAUUCAGCGGCGGACGGGUGAGUAAUGCCUAGGAAUCUGCCUGGUAGUGGGGGACAACGUUUCGAAAGGAACGCUAAUACCGCAUACGUCCUACGGGAGAAAGCAGGGGACCUUCGGGCCUUGCGCUAUCAGAUGAGCCUAGGUCGGAUUAGCUAGUUGGUGAGGUAAUGGCUCACCAAGGCGACGAUCCGUAACUGGUCUGAUAGGAUGAUCAGUCGCACUGGAACUGAGACACGGUCCAGACUCCUACGGGAGGCAGCAGUGGGGAAUAUUGGACAAUGGGCGAAAGCCUGAUCCAGCCAUGCCGCGUGUGUGAAGAAGGUCUUCGGAUUGUAAAGCACUUUAAGUUGGGAGGAAGGGUUGUAGAUUAAUACUCUGCAAUUUUGACGUUACCGACAGAAUAAGCACCGGCUAACUCUGUGCCAGCCGCCGCAGUAAUAC